CAGGGUAAAACCAUGGGCCAUGGGGGAGCAAUGGGGCCACAGGGUCGGGCCAUGGGAGGGCCAUGGGGCCACAGGGUCGGGCCAUGGGCCAUGGGGGGGCAAUGGGGCCACAGGGUCGGGUCAUGGGCCAUGUGGGGGCCAUGGGGCCACAGGGUCGGGUCAUGGGCCAUGGGGGGGCCAUGGGGCCACAGGGUCAGGCCAUGGGCCAUGGGGGGGCAAUGGGGCCACAGGGUCGGGCCAUGGGCCAUGGGGGGCCAUGCGGCCACAGGGGGGCUCUUGGGGAGGUCAGGGUGCUGGGGGGCUCGGGGCACUCAGGGGUUG